rnacentral:ncRNA from 1 species
UAAAAGGCAGAGAAGGGGAAUGCCCCGCGCGAUUUUUUUCAGGGACCCGGCGGCUGGUGUGAGCCGGGAAAAUCAACCGGACGUCUCUCACCCCUGAGCCGCCGCCCCGAAGGCAGUAAGGACGGACGCAUGGCCGCGUUAAAGGCCGCUUGAGGGCUGCUUGAAAAAACAGCUGAAUCAGGGUGGUACCGCGUAUUUUACGCCCCUGAC